rnacentral:rRNA from 1 species
GACAGAGGAGGCGAGCGUUAUCCGGAGUUAUUGGGCGUAAAGGGUACGUAGGCGGCUGGUCAAGUCUGGGGUUAAAGGCCACAGCUCAACUGUGGGAAGGCCCUGGAAACUGACCGGCUAGAGUGAGGUAGGGGUUGCGGGAAUUCCCGGUGUAGCGGUGAAAUGCGUAGAGAUCGGGAAGAACACCUGAGGCGGAAGCGUUCAUCAUCGUUCAUACUGACGCUGAGGCACGUAGGCGUGGGGAGCAAACAGG